UUGGGGGCAUAGACCAGGAGAUGGGAGGGUGAGACAGAACCCUUGGGACAGGCAUCCCUGAGAGUUUUGAAGCCAGGAGCAGAGAGAAGAGAUAGGAGGUAGAGAAACAGUUAGAUGAAAGCUAGAGAGAAAGAAAGAAGGAAAAUUUAUUGGAGGAGAAAAUUUAGGAGAGCUAUUCAGUAGACAGCAAUAAACUAGUAUACAUAGGUAAAGAAAUAGUUGAUAGAAAAUCAAGGUGAUUUGUCAGUAUAAGACUAGUAAGAUAAUGACUGAAAUGAGAAAGGCUGGGGAAGAGGGAAAGUAGAGGGGGAAAAGAACAGAGAGAUGACAAAUCACAGUUAUACAGCUAAUACUCAAACUAUCUUGGGUAAAAGAUAAAUAAGUAUGGUUGCCAUAAAUCUUAAUCCUUAGAAAAAAAAUAUCAGAUGGGGCAGCCAAAAAAAACAAAAAAUCCAAAACAUUCUGCUUUUCUGGGAGAUCAGAACGUCAGAUAGACUGAGGCAGGCAAGGAAAUCUAAGGAGUAACUACCAAAGUCAAAAUGGGAGGGGGGGCCCGGAAUGUAGGAGAUGGAAAAGGUGAGAAAUAGGAGGGGGAAAACCCAAAGGAGAAACUGGCCCAGAAACCUUUUUAACUUUCUGCAAGAAUCUUCAAGGCCCCCAAACUAGGCCAAUCCGCUGACUGACAUUUCUGAGCUCACCAGCUGCCGUUUCCUUGAGAGAAUUCUGACGGGAAGGCAGCAGAAUCCAAGCCAACACAGCCAGCUCAGAAAAAAAUAAAUAAAUAACCUCCCCUCCCCGAAAAUCACAACUCAGACACCACCAUGGGGGUCUGAGCCCUUCCAAGGGGAAAAUGCGCAGAGAGAAAGAAGAUCCCGGCAACUUCUUCCCAGGGUCUCGGUUAUGUCUUCUCAUUGAUGAAAUGAAGAUAGACUGCCUCACAAAGCUCACUUAAGAGAUGAAAAGCGGGACUCACGUCUCCAGAAACACUGAUCUGGAAGUGAUGCUGAGCAAAACAACACCAAGAAUACAGUAUGCACAAUACCAUCAAUAUUAUGCAAUGGGCAACUAUGGAAGAUCUGGUUCUUCUCAGCAGUUCAGUGAUCCAAGGCAAUGCUAAUAAACUUUGGAAGAAAACACCAUCGGUAUCCAGAGAGAGAACUAUGGAGAAUGAAUGCAAGUCAUCAUAUGCCAUGUUCACUUUUUUUUUCUUUUUCUUUUUUUUUUCUCUCAUGGUUUUUUCCUUUUGUUCUGAAUUUUCUUGCCCAUCAUGAUUCAUAAAGAAAUGUAUAUUGAAAAAAAUUAAUACACAUGUAUAACCAGAAAAAAGAAAACAAUAAAAAGCAAUAAAUAAAUAAAUAAAUAAAA